rnacentral:rRNA from 1 species
UACAGAGGUCUCAAGCGUUGUUCGGAUUCAUUGGGCGUAAAGGGUGCGUAGGUGGCGCGGUAAGUCAGGUGUGAAAUUUCGGAGCUUAACUCCGAAACUGCAUUUGAUACUGCGGUGCUUGAGGACUGGAGAGGAGACUGGAAUUUACGGUGUAGCAGUGAAAUGCGUAGAGAUCGUAAGGAAGACCAGUGGCGAAGGCGGGUCUCUGGACAGUUCCUGACACUGAGGCACGAAGGCCAGGGGAGCAAACAGG